rnacentral:lncRNA from 1 species
UCCGACGCCCUCGAGUUUUAGCCCAACACUGAAGAUACAGACAGUACAGGGGUAAAUCCUGGGCCCAGGCUCCUGGGUGAAUUAUUUUAUCCUCCCCUAUGCGCUUUGUCAGCCAAGUGAAUGUAGAAAAGCAAGCAAAACUCCAGAACCCCACAACGAUUCACGCCACGCUUCGGUGGCACAACUCUUUUCUUCCCCUUUUAGAUUAGUACUGUGCAGGGAAGGCUGCACCUGCUACCUUCAGACACCGGGGAUCUGGCUAGGACCCUCUUCCUCUACCCCUACUCUCUCCUCCCGUCCCCACCCUCUCCCAGAUGCACCCCAAUCCAGCCUCUCAACCCUGUCGCUGUUUGCAAACUCGAGGGAUGUUUAGUGCAAUUGCCUUUAAAUAAGCAAUUCACGUAAGAGGUAUUUAUUGCAGAGGGUUUCAGGUCUGGGAGGGGGUAAGGAGUUAGUUAAUGAAGGAUUAGAGGCAAAGCUGGGAAAGAACGAGUAGACAGGCCAGUUUCUUUCUUUCUUUUUAAAAUCUAUUAUUCUGGAAAACCCUUGUUCGAAAAGAGUAAAGAAUUGCUAUUUGGGCAACAAUAUGGCUCCUUCAGAACUGGUCGAGAAUUUCUGUGGUCUUUGCUUGACCUUCAAGUUGGGAGUUUCAAAUCAGAGGCUUUGAAGUCUGGAGGAGUUCGCAGCCAUUAAUCCUUCCGGGGUUGUGCUAAAGGCGUUUCUAGAAAGAGAUCGGAAAGACCCGUUCAGCACAGGCCCAUUGCAUCUUCUCUUUGAAAACGCUUGUCUGAAUCAAGUAUCUUAUACAGACCCGAGACUGAGGGGAGCAAGAGCGCAGGUCCGGCUGUGGCGAGGUGUCCACCACCGUACUUGUGGUCAAUGCCUGGACUAGAGAGCCGAGGCCGUCCAGGGCGGGCUGGCCAGGGAACCA